AUGAAAUAUGAAGUUUUAUUAAAAGAAAAAGAGGUGAAAAGAACAAAGUUUUGUCCAUCUUUGUUCAUCAUAGCUGAAAGUUAGAGAAGAGAAAGGAGAGGAGAAAGCUCUUGAGUAUUCGGUCAUUAGGAGGAGGAAAAUUGAAGGCGGUUCGUGUGUGGAUUUCGUCAGCAUAUCGUCGCAAACAGGCUUUGCCUCAAUUUACUGUUAACUGAGCAGCAAGGCUACAACUGUGGAGUGUUGGGUUGGGUGGGUUGAGCUAUUCCC